CGAAGGGUGCAAGCGUUACUCGGAAUUACUGGGCGUAAAGCGUGCGUAGGUGGUUUGUUAAGUCUGUCGUGAAAUCCCCGGGCUCAACCUGGGAAUGGCGAUGGAUACUGGCAAGCUAGAGUGAGGUAGAGGAGAGUGGAAUUCCCGGUGUAGCAGUGAAAUGCGCAGAGAUCGGGAGGAACAUCAGUUGCGAAGGCGGCUCUCUGGACCAUCACUGACACUGAGGCACGAAAGCGUGGGGAGCAAACAGGAUUAGAUACCCUGGUAGUCCACGCCCUAAACGAUGCGAACCGGACGUUGGGCUCAAUUAGGAGCUCAGUGUCGAAGCUAACGCGUUAAGUUCGCCGCCUGGGGAGUACGGUCGCAAGACUG
rnacentral:rRNA from 1 species